rnacentral:rRNA from 1 species
AAGUGGUACGUGAGCUGGGUUCAGAACGUCGCGAGACAGUUUGGUCCCUAUCUGCCGUGGGCGUCGAUACUUGAAAGGAGUUGCCCCUAGUACGAGAGGACCGGGGUGAACAUACCUCUGGUGUACCAGUCAUGCCGCCAGGCGUGCCGCUGGGUAGCUAUGUAUGGACGGGAUAACCGCUGAAAGCAUCUAAGCGGGAAGCCUCCCUUGAGAUUAGGUAUCUUCGAACCGUCAUAGACCAUGACGUUGAUAGGCUGGGUGUGGAAGCGCAGUAAUGCGUGAAGCUAACCAGUCCUAAUAGUUCUGAUCACGCUUGAGAGUUCGCA